GGGGAUUUAGCUCAGUGGCAUAAGCACCUGCCUUGCAAGCACAUGGUCGUGAGUUCAAUCCCCA
rfam:Cavia porcellus supercont2_168 genomic scaffold, whole genome shotgun sequence.